rnacentral:rRNA from 1 species
CACGGCGCACGGGUGUGCCACACGUGGGCAAUCUGCCCUCUGAUGGGGAAUAACCCCGCGAAAGCGGGGCUAAUACCGCAUAAGAUUCUUUGGACUUCGGUCUGGAGAUUGAAAGCAGUAAUGCGUCGGAGGAGGAGCCCGCGCCCGAUUAGCUAGUUGGUGAGGUAACGGCUCACCAAGGCAAUGAUCGGUAGCUGGUCUGAGAGGAUGAUCAGCCACACUGGAACUGAGACACGGUCCAGACUCCUACGGGAGGCAGCAGUGGGGAAUCUUGCACAAUGGGCGAAAGCCUGAUGCAGCGACGCCGCGUGGGGGAUGAAGCAUCUCGGUGUGUAAACCCCUUUCGACCGGGAAGAAAGCCUCGCAAGAGGACUGACGGUACCGGUAUAAGAAGCCCCGGCUAACUACGUGCCAGCAGCCGCAGUAAGACGUAGGGGGCCAGCGUUGUUCGGAAUUACUGGGUGUAAAGGGUUCGUAGGCGGUGCGGCAAGUUGGGAGUGAAAUCUCUGGGCUUAACCCAGAGGCUGCUUCCAA